CCGUGAAUCUCAGGGCCAGGGUUCGAGGGCUGCUCCGAUUCCAGCGUGCACAUCCUUUCUACCACCCCAGCAAGUCUCUGUCCCUCCCCUCUGGCGUCUCCAUCUCUGGAUUUCUUUGCACAAGCAAAAUGGACCCCUAGACACGCAAAAGAAACCUGUCUCACCACAUUAAGGACAAAUCUCCUGUCAACCCAGCAGGCGUCCUGGGUGUGACU